GGGGACCUGCGGGGCCCUUCACAUCCGGGCCGACCUGGCCCGCACAAGCAGACGGAAGACAGAAA
rfam:Oceaniovalibus guishaninsula JLT2003 contig00058, whole genome shotgun sequence.